rnacentral:rRNA from 1 species
UACGAAGGUGGCAAGCGUUGUUCGGAUUUACUGGGCGUAAAGGGAGCGUAGGUGGUGGGGUAAGCCCCGCGGGAAAGCUCCAGGCUUAACCUGGAAAGGUCGCGGGGGACUGCUCCGCUCGAGGACGGGAGAGGAGCGCGGAAUUCCCGGUGUAGCGGUGAAAUGCGCAGAUAUCGGGAGGAACACCGGUGGCGAAGGCGGUUCUCUGGGCCUUACCUGACGCUGAGGAGCGAAAGCGUGGGGAGCGAACAGG